UCAACUGCCUUCGUAAAUGCUGAUCUAUUUGAAGACACCCACAAACUCAUUGAUUUAGUUAUAGAUGAUGAGGCUGCCCACAUUGAUUCAGAAUGCUUUAACCAAAUUAAAGAUGAACUAAUUAAGGAAUUGGAAGUUGCCUCGGCAAAAUAUGUUGAGAGAGUAGAAAAUGGUAUGCCCGUUUUUAAAAAAGGUGUUCACUUAAAUAUGGAAAGCUUCAUUGAGGAUACACUGUUGCCAAAGGCUUUGGUCUCUGCUAGUGAUGAUUGUUUGCAUAGUGUUAAGGAUGAACUUAGAGCUUUCUUCAAGGCUAGAUUUGGUCCUGCCUUUAAAACAAUUGAUCCUGACUUUUAAUAAUAU